UCCCUAAUGCACAUUUUGUAAUUCGUGUGCGGCUUUUAUGAAUUAUGUACUCGAAUUAAUUUUGUCGAGUUCCAAGAUUUUUUAUAUACAAAUAAUACGUAGUUUAUUUAAAAGAUUGUCACUUUAGAUCAACAUGUCGAAAACAGAACAUCUUAACCAAAUCGUGAUUGAAUAUAGAGAUUUCUGUGCCUCAACAAAGCAAGAAGACUUGCAUAAACAGGUUGCAGAGUUACCUGCGAAGGAUUAUACUGCUGAUGAAAAGUUUGUAGAAUUACUAACACCUCAGCAGCGGGAAGCGUUUGAUACCUUACUGCCUGGAGAACUAGAGGAUUUAACAUCUCUUCACUUAGCACGUUUAGCUAAAACGUCAAUGGAAGGUUUUGCUAGAGCUCAGCAGCAAAACCAACAAUUGGAAUACAGUUGCAGCAGAUUCCAUGGGCAUAUGAAAAAAUGUAAACUGGAAAUCUUAAUGGAAACCCAAGCCGCCGAAGAACUACAGAUUUGUUUACUGGAUAUCAAAUAUAAUUUGAAAGUCAUCAAGGCAAAAAAGGAUAGACUGAAGAAGUGAUUAUUUAUUGAAAAACUAAAUGUUAACUACGUUCGAAUAAAAAUUAGUUUUUUCCGGCAUCUUCCUUCAGUCCAACUGUUCUAUUAAAAAUCAAAUGAUGUUCAGUACUGGCAGGAUCCACUGAAAAAUAACCGAUUCUUUCGAAUUGAAAUCUAUCAUACGCUUUUGCCUUCACAACUGACGCAUCCGCGUAAGCCGACACAAUUUUAAGCGAGUCUAAAUUACAAUCGCUAAUAAAGCCAUCUGGAACUUCGGUUACAUCUUCUGGGUUUUUAUGCAUAAAC